AGAGUUUGAUUAUGGCUCAGGAUGAACGCUGGCGGCGUGCCUAACACAUGCAAGUCGAACGGAAGGUAAGCGCUUCGGAGGCUUCGGCCAAUGUAUACUUAUCUUAGUGGCGGACGGGUGAGUAACGCGUGGAUAACCUGCCAUAUACAGGGGGAUAACAGUUAGAAAUGACUGCUAAUACCGCAUAAGCGCACGGAAACGCAUGUUUCAGUGUGAAAAACUCCGGUGGUAUAUGAUGGAUCCGCGUCUGAUUAGCCAGUUGGCGGGGUAACGGCCCACCAAAGCGACGAUCAGUAGCCGACCUGAGAGGGUGAACGGCCACAUUGGGACUGAGACACGGCCCAAACUCCUACGGGAGACAGCAGUGGGGGAUAUUGCACAAUGGGGGAAACCCUGAUGCAAGCGACGCCGCGUGAGUGAAGAAGUAUUUCGGUAUGUAAAGCUCUAUCAGCAGGGAAGAUAAUGACGGUACCUGACUAAGAAGCACCGGCUAAAUACGUGCCAGCCGCGGC
rnacentral:rRNA from 1 species